UGAACCUGCAAACACCCUGCGUGGCGAGCUGGGCCGUGGGCCUUGUAGCGUGCGUGUGUUGAGGGUGGCUGGCCCAGGAUGCCAGCUACAUAUUGUACCCAGACCUGAUCGAUUGGGCAGGAAGGAAAAUAUCUGAAGUUAAACUCUCUCCUCACCACGCUCCUCACCUGCUCCCUUCUCUCUUUCUCCCCCAAAUUCUAGAUCGAGAUCCCAGGGCAUUACAUAUCUAUGUGACAUACCUUAGGUUAAGAUUAGACAGGCCCACAAGCCGUGUUGUAAGAGCCUGAGAGGCGGAGAUGUUUGCCGAUUAGUAGAUCAGCUUCUGGUUCACACCGGAGGGCGGAAUCCACACCUCCGUCAGUCAGGUCGUCGCUGAUGGUGAUACUGAUGCGACCGCUCGAUUCAGCCCUAGCUCCACGGCAGCGGCGGCGGCGGAACGAUCGAGGAUGUAGUCAGAGCAAACGGAUGGCAAAGCGAUGUAUUGUGUGUCUAUGCCCAGGUCGACCUGAUUGUAGCACGUGGCCUAUGGGCUAACAAUUUUGGGCUUGGGCUAUCCAACACUAGUUACGUAAAGGUGAGGCAUACGUGUUUGCUAAUGGCCAGAUUUCCCUAAACAGAAAAACUAAUGUCCAGAUACUAAUUAGCAAUAGGCGUCAAACUCAAUCCAGCGUAGUCCCCGUUGAAUAUCGUUGAGGGGGGCCGAUCGAUAGGGGGGGUCUGGCCCCCGCUCGCCCCCCCUGUGGCUCCGCCACUCAGCAGAUGUAAACGUGGAAGCCGCCCGCUCCGACGUCCAGACGAGGCUCCAGCUCCACGACCGGCGGCAGCUUCCACCACGAGGUGAGCAUGCGGCAUCUGGAAAAACGUCUGUUCCUGACCCUCAAAUGUCACGUUUCCAGGAGAAAACCCGGGCACACCGUGGCUGCCUCGACAUCGACAGUAUGAUGUGCCUGCGCCGUCGGAAACGAUGCUGCUAGAGCCGAAGGGCACCAACACAUCCUCUUCCUCGGGCAGAGGCGGUAACUCAUGACGUGCUGCCAACGGCAAGCCACUCGUCUCCACCUGUUUUGGCUUGGUUUUUUCCUGGUUGGCCUAUACAGUUUCUCAUCAGAACAGAUCAUGGGGGUUCUUUCCACACGUAUCCUCGCCUGGGCGGGCCAUUCCAGAGCUUGCAGGAAGCUGAGAAUGCUCUCGAUAGCCAUCUCGAUGACCUGCGCUCUCCAAUAAUGUGCACAGAUGGGCUUCCGCAAGCGGAAAAAGCGGUACGGCAUGCUCUUUACUGGCCUGAUGGCACAAGAAGGAUGUCUUCCAGAAGCCAUCCAAAACGUGGGAAUAUCAACCUAUUGGUUCAAGCUUUACUGGACAAGUACAGUGAAGAUCACCGCCUUUUGGGGGAUCUUGCAUAUGAACUUGAUGAUCUUGUGACCUUCCAAGAAUUUUAUAUGGGGGAGACUGGCUGCCUCAAAAUGUACUGUCAUCUCAAUUUUACUACAAAAACUAAAGGAGCUGAUGAUUCUCACGGUGGCAGCAACAAUCUAUUUCUUUGCUGAAGUCGCACAAAUAAAGGGCGAAAGUGUAGAAUAUGUGCUCAAUUGUUUCUGUAUGGUGCAACAUAAUGACAAUGGCCAAUGCUAUGGUUGUACGACUUAUGGAAAUGUUGAUUUGAAGCACCCUGUCAAUGCUGAUCAAUACGAAGGUCGCCACUCUCGCCCGCACAAAACAUGGUGCGGUUUCGUCCAUCCAGGCGUACCUGCAUACAUCAAGAAUGAGGACAGGCUGGCGGAUGAGGAGGCUAGGAUAAGACGUGUAAACAUGUGCCGUGAUGAACCUCCUAGUCUGGCAAAAUCGGAUGGUGCAAAAAUGCCUGCUGGUUUGGGCAAGAGAGAAGGUGAUGGUUUGGCCAAGAGAGAGGAUGCUUGUUUGGCCAAGAGAGAGGAUACUGGUUUGGCCAAAAGAGAUGAUGGCCAGGGAAGCGGGAAAUACAUUGUACCUGCCAGACGUCAGUUGGUUUGAGUAUCCUCUCGGGUAUAUAGAUAAAUUUGGUUCUAGGUAUAUGUUUGAUCUCACUAAGCAUUAUUGUAUAUUCUUACAAUCUGCAUAGUUGCAUAUUUCCU